UUUAAGUGAUUCACCAAUAACUUGUCUCAGUUAGAACUCAGUUUACCAGCCAAGCAUUCACCUCCCUUAACUUAAAACAUUUCUUGUUCUUCUUUGCCUUUACCUGCUUCAGUGUUCAGAGUUAUGACUGGGAUGUGCGCUACGUGUCCUCCCUUAAUGCACAACACUGUUUUCCACCUCAAUUAUUGCAGGAAGCAAGGUUAUAUGAAGAAGUAAAUGUGUGAUAAAAUAGCUGGUCUUUGUUGUAAUGCUUGUGUAUCAUGAAGUGUUAUAAGUUUGCAUAGCCAGUUUCAAUCCAGGUAUUUCCCAAAGAAUGAAAUUGUUAUUACAGUUUCACUGUUCAUAAACAACUUCUUUUAGCAUACAGGGAAUACACAUGCAGACAUACAUAGAUGCACCUGCAUCACUUAACCUGUUCUGCCAUUUUCUUUCUUUGACCCUCCGUUCAUGUUACUAACAAGAGCUAAUCUUAGCUAGCUAAUGAGAUCUGACAUUAUCGCAGUCCAUUGCAGGAUGGCUGGAGGCUAGAGGAUUUUGUGUAUCUUGUUUUAUUCAUAUGUUGUCCUGGAGAGAAAUGGAAACAUCACGUAAAAGCACUGAGCACUCAGUGUCUGCCUCUGGGCAAAAUACAGCCAGAAAAUCUUAAAUACUUUUUCAUGAUCACAAUUCCUCUUCAUCUCCUGCUUAUCAAGUAUUCUAGGACAGCAUCCUAUUGUUAUUUUGAGAUAAACCUCUGCCAUGCUGCAGCUUUUUGAGUGCCUUGAAGCUUGCAAAUGACUCAUGUGGCACACUCCCUUCCCUUUAGCCAACAUUGAAGAAGCCUGGAAAAACUAUGUUUGGGAAUGAUCCUCCUCCUGGCUUACAUCACAAAUGACUUCUAUUACAGGAUAAAGCCUGAAGGCACAAUCCAGCCUGAAAUACAUAGUCAUCAUGAACUGUAAAAAUACUUCAUAACAGAAGUUAAAUACUCCAAAUCAUUUACAAUUCUAAACCCAAAUCCCUAUCAGUCUACAUUUCCAAAUUCUUCAAGUAUGUUUUCUUUUUCAAUAAAUGCCAAUAAGAGAUAAUUAUUGUGUUUGAU
rnacentral:lncRNA from 1 species